GAAACCAACAGGGAUUGCCCCAGUAACGGCGAGUGAAGCGGCAAAAGCUCAAAUUUGAAAUCUGGCUCCUUAGGGGUCCGAGUUGUAAUUUGUAGAGGAUGCUUCGGGUGCGGCCACGGCCUAAGUUCCUUGGAACAGGACGUCAUAGAGGGUGAGAAUCCCGUCUUGGGUCGUUGGUCCACGCCCGUGUGAAGCUCCUUCGACGAGUCGAGUUGUUUGGGAAUGCAGCUCUAAGCGGGUGGUAAAUUUCAUCUAAAGCUAAAUAUUGGCCGGAGACCGAUAGCGCACAAGUAGAGUGAUCGAAAGGUUAAAAGCACCUUGAAAAGGGAGUUAAACAGCACGUGAAAUUGUUGAAAGGGAAGCGCUUGCGGCCAGACUCAGGCGCAGGGUUCAGCGGGUGCGUGUCACCCGUGCACUCCCUGCCGCCUGGGCCAGCAUCAGUUCUGACGGUCGGUCAAAGGCCUCCGGAAUGUGUCGUCUCUCGGGACGUCUUAUAGCCGGGGGUGCAAUGCGGCCCGUCGGGACUGAGGAACGCGCUUCGGCUCGGAUGCUGGCAUAAUGGCCGUAAGCGGCCCGUCUUGAAACACGGACCAAGGAGUCUAACAUCCACGCGAGUGUUCGGGUGUCAAACCCGUGCGCGCAGUGAAAGCGAACGGAGGUGGGAGCCUUAGGGCGCACCAUCGACCGAUCCUGAAGUCUUCGGAUGGAUUUGAGUAGGAGCGUGGCCGUUGGGACCCGAAAGAUGGUGAACUAUGCCUGAAUAGGGUGAAGCCAGAGGAAACUCUGGUGGAGGCUCGCAGCGGUUCUGACGUGCAAAUCGAUCGUCAAAUUUGGGCAUAGGGGCGAAAGACUAAUCGAACCAUCUAGUAGCUGGUUCCUGCCGAAGUUUCCCUCAGGAUAGCAGUAACGAAAUUCCAGUUUUAUGAGGUAAAGCGAAUGAUUA
rnacentral:rRNA from 1 species